CCCGCUGAACUUAAGCAUAUCAAUANAGCGGAGGAAAAGAAACUAACAAGGAUUCCCCUAGUAACUGCGAGUGAAGCGGGAAAAGCUCAAAUUUAAAAUCUGGCGGUCUUGCGGCCGUCCGAGUUGUAAUCUGGAGAAGCGUUUAUCCGCGUCGGACCGUGUACAAGUCUUCUGGAAGGGAGCGUCGUAGAGGGUGAGAAUCCCGUCUUUGACACGGACAACCGGUGCUUUUGUGAUGCGCUCUCGAAGAGUCGAGUUGUUUGGGAAUGCAGCUCAAAAUGGGUGGUAAAUUCCAUCUAAAGCUAAAUAUUGGCGAGAGACCGAUAGCGAACAAGUACCGUGAGGGAAAGAUGAAAAGCACUUUGGAAAGAGAGUUAAACAGUACGUGAAAUUGUUGAAAGGGAAACGUUUGAAGUCAGUCGCGUCGGCCGAGACUCAACCUUGCUUCUGCUCGGUGCACUUCUCGGUUGACGGGUCAGCAUCAAUUUUGACCGCCGGAUAAAGGUCGGGGGAAUGUGGCAUCCUUCGGGAUGUGUUAUAGACCUCGAUUCGGAUACGGCGAUUGGGAUUGAGGAACUCGGCGCUUUGCGUCCAGGAUGCUGGCAUAAUGGCUUUAAGCGACCCGUCUUGAAACACGG
rnacentral:rRNA from 1 species